rnacentral:rRNA from 2 species
UGAUCGGUGCUUGCACCGAGAUUCAACAUGGAACGAGUGGCGGACGGGUGAGUAACACGUGGGUAACCUGCCCUUAAGUGGGGGAUAACAUUUGGAAACAGAUGCUAAUACCGCAUAGAUCCAAGAACCGCAUGGUUCUUGGCUGAAAGAUGGCGUAAGCUAUCGCUUUUGGAUGGACCCGCGGCGUAUUAGCUAGUUGGUGAGGUAAUGGCUCACCAAGGCGAUGAUACGUAGCCGAACUGAGAGGUUGAUCGGCCACAUUGGGACUGAGACACGGCCCAAACUCCUACGGGAGGCAGCAGUAGGGAAUCUUCCACAAUGGACGCAAGUCUGAUGGAGCAACGCCGCGUGAGUGAAGAAGGCUUUCGGGUCGUAAAACUCUGUUGUUGGAGAAGAAUGGUCGGCAGAGUAACUGUUGUCGGCGUGACGGUAUCCAACCAG